GGAGUUGUAGCUUAGCGGUAGAGUGCUUGCCUAGUACACAUGAGGCACUGGGUUCAAUUCUCAGCACCA
rnacentral:tRNA from 1 species